CGCCUCUUGAUUACCAUAAGAGGUCCAGCCUGCCCAGUGACCCAUUCAACGGCCGCGGUACCCUAACCGCGCGAAGGUAGCGUAAUCACUUGUUUCUUAAAUAGGGACUAGUAUCAAUGGCAUCACGAAGACUACACUGUCUCCCCCCUAAAAUCAAUGAAACUGAUCUUCUCGUGAAGAAGCGAGAAUAUAAAUAUAAGACGAGAAGACCCCAUGGAGCUUUAAAUGAACCUCAACGCUAUCCUAUACCAUAGAAAUUGAGCGUUAUGAUGUGUAAUUUUCGGUUGGGGUGACCGCGGAAUAAAACAAAACCUCCGCAAUGAAUGUAACAAAACACUAAUAAAAGAACCACAGUUCUAAUAAUCAAUAAAUUGACAUAAUUGAUCCAUACAUCUGAUCAAUGAACCAAGUUACCCUGGGGAUAACAGCGCAAUCCAUUUAAAGAGCCCCUAUCAACAAAUGGGUUUACGACCUCGAUGUUGGAUCAGGGUAUCCCAGUGGUGCAGCCGCUACUAAUGGUUCGUUUGUUCAACGAUUAAAACCCU
rnacentral:rRNA from 1 species